AUUUAAAGAUGACAUAAUUAUUUAAAUUGUUCCAAAAGCGGUCUUACAAAAUUGCAAAAUAGCAUAUGCCAACAUAAUUCAAAUGUCCAAACUAAUCUAACUAAAAUGCCCAUAAUCGAAGAAAUCGUCGGAAAUCUAACGCACUCCCCAAUCCCGUGCGAUCAAGCCUCUGGAUCUGGAAAAAACAGAAAAAAUAAAAUAAUGAGCUACACUAGCCCAGUAAGCAACAAAAUAUCCCAAAGUGGAGUUAGAGCAUAUCAGAUCAAAAUACAGGAUGAUGUCUGGAAUAAAUCACAAAUAUCGUUGUUUUGUUGUUUUCAAAAUUUAUUAUCAUUUUUUCAAAAACUCUGAUACCAGAAUCUCAACAUGAUAGGCUACGGCCACGUAACCCAGUGGCAUGGGUUGCACAGAGUGCCAGAAACCACUAUUGUUAGUCACCGGUGGCAACGGUGUCCAGAAACCACUAUUCUAAUCACCGGUGGCACGGUGUCGAAACCGGUUUCUUACAGAUUACAAGUCGACAGGUCCAACGUAUAAUCCCCAAUGGCGGGGCCAGAACAGAAUAGAACAGAUCAUAGCCAUACUGAGAAUGCAUAUAUAUAAAAAUAGAUUUCAUAAACUGUAAAGUCGUAUUUUACGGAUUUCAGAGCAUAUAUCAUGAUUUUCAAAUAAAAUUUAACAUGCCAGACCCAUUUUACUAAAUGCAAAACAUAUUUCAGAAUUUAAUCCAGUAAUAAUUAUCUUACCAAAUAAUUUAGAAAAUGCACUUUGAAGCAUUAAGUUACUUAUCUCUUCUCGCCUAAUCCCUACUUUAGAUAGGCGGAUCAGGUUCACCUAUUUACAUUUAAUUAAUUUCUUGUUAAUUUCAGAGCUAAGCAAAAAUUUAGAAAUAAUACUAUUGGACACGGCCCAAUAGGGCCCAGAGUUGGCCCAUAGUGGGCAUGGCCCGUUAGGGCCCAUAUCGGGCAUGGCUGAAUGGGCCCGCAUAGACCCAGUUAAAUAGGGCCCCCAAGGUUGGCUUCUAAUUGGUUCAUUUAUGCAAUAAGAUUUAUUGCAGGGACUAAUACUUAAUUUACAGGGUACUAUUUUAUAAAGCUGGAGUGGGCUAAAUAAAAUAUAGUUGGGGACCUUUAUGUAAUAAAUCUUUUCUAUGGGGAUCAAAUACAAAUUACAGAAGACCCUUUUGUGAAAUAACAUAAUGUCAAGGGCUUAUCUGCAAAAUUUCAUUUAUUGGCCAAAUAGGUUCGGGUUUCGGGUUCCGGAUUUCGGAUCCGGGUUCGGGUUCCGGGCUCGGAUCUGAAUAGGGCUCAAGUUGGGUUUCGGAUUUUCUCUUUUUUUUUAACUGGGCCCAAGUUGGGCCCAUGGUGGACCGGGCCCAAUUCGGGCCCACGAUGGACCGGGCCCAAGUCGAGCCCACAAAGGUACAGCCCAACUGGGCCCAACCGGACUGGACUGGGCCCAAGUUGGGCCUGCAAUGUAUAGGGCCCAACGGGCCCAGUUUGGCCCGUGAUGGGCCUCUUCCUUCCCCAAACCCCCCCCCCACGGACAGGGGGAGUAGGAGAGAUGGAGGAGAGGGAGAGGGCCGGCCUGGGUGGCCGGCCUGGGUGGCUCGGUCGAUGGCUAGCCGGCCGCCAUGGCGGCCGGCGACUGUUGUCGUGGCCGACGGGAAGGAGAAGCAACCGAGAUCAUCUCGGUUGCUUGGGUUGAAACAGAGGAGACCAAAACCCAUGAAAGCAAGGAGGGAGGCUUACCGGCGGUGGCAGAGGUAGUGGGAGGAAGAUCUCGGCUGCCGGUGCUCGAUUCGGUGGUCAAGCGGCGGUGGCGGCGCUCGAAAUCCAGAGGAUGAAUCUCGGAACAGGUGGCCGCGAGGGGGAUCCGGACGGCGGCGCUCGGUCAGGAGGGCACGCCGGUCACCACGGAGAGGAGGAGAAAAGGAGGGAAGAGGAGGAGGAGGAUGCGGAGGAGAGGAGGGCUUGGGGGUUUUAUCACCCCUCGUGGCGACUCUCCGCCGCGUGAAUCGCGGCGGCCGAGAGGAUUCCGUGGCCGGGAUUGGCCGCGGCACCCUUGCCUGGUUUGUCCCCGGAAGAACCGGAGAGGAUCGCAAUCACUUCCGGCCUUCCAAGAAUGGGGACGGGGCUGAAGUCGGCUGGGGCUGCCGACUUCAGCCCCAAUAUCUCACAGAAACAAUAAUCGGCACCAUAUACCUUAUCAUUGUCUCAAAAACCACUUGAACAUGGAAAAGAACAAAAAAAUAUGCAUUAAGAAUUUACUUUGACAAAACUUAAAAAAUGAAAAGAUACAAAAACAAAAAAAAACUUGGUACACGUUGAGACACAAGACCAUCUCUAGAGUUGGGGUGGUACCAACUGUCCUGGCAUCGUACCAUCCUAAUGAAAUACUAGUACAGGUCUCAAUAUCAAUAUUUUAAACCUUGGGACCCAAUAAAUAGUUUGUUCCUACAUCUUGCACUCUACAAUACAUUCAUAAUACAUCAAUAUCAAACAACUUAAAUUUAAGAAAAUAUUAGCCAUAUUAUAUCAUAAAAUGUAGACUAUACCUUGCAAUUCUUUUCUUCAUUUGUAUUCAAUUAUAUGCAUGCAUUCUUCAAAAAUCACUUGUGUAAGUAUGAGCUCAUAAGGUUUAUGUCGUUUUUGAUCUCUUAUUGAUUGUAUUCAAGCAACUGAAGGGUAUGUUAAUAUGCUGAGCAAGGCUUAUUUUCAGGUUAUUUAAGUUAUUGUAGUAACUUUGGACUUCCGUAAGUAUUGCAAGUUAAUGUUUCGCAUAUAGAUUUCAAAUUACCAAAGAGGAAAAGGAAGAUAAUAUUUGAUUGUGGUUAUGAUCCAAUUAACAGCAUAUAUGAAUAGAUAGACUUAUUUUAGAUUAUGCACUUGAUAUGCUACUUUGUAUAAAUUAAUAUUUGGAGAAAAUCAAGAGAAUUGUAAAUGGAGGGUCAUUUUGUUGUCAUAUCAAAAUUAAUUUUACUAAAAUUACUAGGCUAGUCUAAAGUAGCGGAUCAUUGGCCAGCCCGCACACUAUGUAAUCAUUAGGCAAUCAAGUGUUGAUGCAGGCAUGUAGUUGGUUGCCAUGCUUAUGAAUCAUGAUAGUGGCAGGCCCCUAGGUAAUAGGGUCAAAACGCAUAGGCAGGAAAACCUAGGAACAUAGGUAGCAAACUUUGACGACACUAUCACAUAGUGUAUUACAAUAAGUAGUGUUGGCUGAAACAACUUGAUUCGAUUAGGGAGAAGAAAAAAUUUUCUUAGCCCACUUAACUCAAAUUUCUGAAAAGAAAAUUUAAAAAAAAUGAAAGAAUUGGAAAAGUAGGGUUUACCUCCCUUUUUCUUUCAUCGACGGUCCUAAGACGAAGGUACGUAUCCUCUAUUUAUAAUGGUGAGGUAUGUCUUUGCGUAAUUCGGAUUGGAUUUCUCUUCUAGAGUUCUAGUUCUAAAAGAACUCACUUUCCAAAAAUAGACAUGACUAGUAGAAAUAAACUCAAAAAAGCUAAAAUUUUAGAGGAGGUAGAUCUCGAAUUCUACAUCAAAGCUGUCUUCUAUUGCUCCAUCCUUCUUUCAUUGGAAGAUACGUCUGCUUAAAGUCUUUCUCGAAUUUUUUUUUUUGAUUUGAUCAGCUCAUUUUAGGGCUCAAAUGAUGGAAUUUGAGCCUGAACGCUAGGUGUGCCACAACCUUUCAAGGGGUGCGAUAUCAUAGAUAUCGAAAAAGUUUAUUAAAAAAAAGAUCAUCUUAAUCAGGUGUCGUAUGAUUAAGUUGUGGCCUUCGAAAAUUUGGUUCGUGACUCAGCUUGUCGAUGCGGUGGAUCUCACUUCUGAACCCUGUCCAGCCCUACCCGUAGUGGCAUGAAGUCUGGUGAUCCUUCCGGUUCACAUCUUCUAUAACAUGUCAGCAUGAAGUGAUUAUUGGGGAUAAUGCUAAGACAAAGCUAGUCAGUCGUGUCCAUUGGCUGAGCUGAUAGUUGAGUUUGUUGUGGUGUUGAAGUUAGAAACUAAGAAAUUCGAGUCUGUUUGGUUCUGGAGUCUUUCAGAUAUUGUUUUUGAUAUGGCAAUACAUAACCCUAAUGACGUGGCUUAGCCAGAUUAGUUUAGCUUACAACCGACAUAGACCCUAGUCAUACUCCAAAUUCUCUGAGAAAGUCAUAUCAAGAUCACGCUAACCAAUCUGAGAGCUAGGCCGAGCAGAUCUGAAGCAACCAACCUCCAAGGUUAACCAAUCUGAGAGCUAGGCCGAGCAGAUCUGAAGCAACCAACCUCCAAGGUUAUGUAUCGUCCGAUAUAAAAUUCUGCUGCUCGAACGAACAACCAUUCAGCUCAGCAACUAUCCCAAACCGACCUAAGUCCUUUUAUCCCAGACAGUGACAUUAGUCCUCCCUUCAGGUAAGCUCUCCUUUGAUCAUGCAGAGAGUUAAAGAUCAUAAUAAUGAACCUGGAUGGUUAUAGCAUGUGCCAAGACAGUUAUAGCACGAUCCUGGAUGGUUACAACUUACAACAUAUCUUAAGGUAGUUAUGAUGCAAUCUUGGAUGGUUAUUGGACAUCCCUUACUUGUUAUUGUACGAUUCCGGUCCGUUACAACACAACCCUUUGGAGAUUCCGACCUCUUGGCUAUAUAUUGGAUUGAAAUCCCUGCAUGAAAGGUUCAAUACCAAUAACACCACUAUACUGAGGUUUUCAUUCGUCUCUCUCCUCAUAGUCAAAACAUCCCUUUUGACUUAAGCAUCGGAGGGCCCGGUCGAAGCCAACCCCGGUGAGUUUUGACCUGUUGCUGUUUUGUAGAUCGAUAGAGGUGAUCGACAACAGUUCGGUGAUCAGCAACAACAGAUUAGAACUGUCUAUUGGAAACAAGGCGAAAUAAGUCAUGAAGCUCAAAAGAAAUAACCAUCUAGCGUCUACUCAACCGGAGUCUAAUGGCUCCCUACGCGGUCCUUAUAGAUCUUAGCCUCCUUAGUUUGACUCCGCGAGCUGUUAACAUUGAGCAAUUUAGCCUGCUUGUCCAGCAAGUAGAGGCCCUCACCACAAUAUUGCCGAACUUAUAGUAUUUGCAGAUUGCAAAUUCUCCAGCUAGCCAGCCGAACCACCAAGAUUGCUCGGUGCAGGGCAGUAGCCACGCUCCUCCCGAGCGAAAUCAAGGGUGCAAUCGUUCUAGCUCUUUCUUCCAGAUAGGCUAUAGUCUAGUCGACUCUUUCCCACAUGACUUGGACAGGGUCUCCAAGUGGGAAGUCCAUCUCGACCGCAAGAUUGAGGAAACAAACAAGAUCGAGGUAUUUAGGGGAAAGCAUGCGAGGGUAAGCAACGAUCUGGAGAUGAUGAAUGAGCCUCUCUUUACCAAAGAGAUCAUGGAGGAGCCCAUGCUGAAGAAAUUCAAGAUACCUCAGUUCGAGCAUUAUGAUGGCACCUUAGAUCCAAUAGACUAUCUUGAGAGUUAUAGAGCUCUCAUGCUAUUGCAAGAAGCAGCUGACGACGUGAUGGGCCAAGCUUUUCCAACGACCCUCUAGAAAGCUGAUCGGCUCUAGUACUCAAGUCUUCGAUCUAGCUCAAUUGGAUUCUUUGACCAGCUGAGCCACCACUUUGUUGGUUACUUCAUCAGCAAUAAAAGAUGCAAGAAGACCUCGGCUAGUCGGUUCUCUAUCAAGCAAAGGGAAGAUAAAUCCUUUUGCGACUAUAUUAGCCGAUUCAAUGUUGAGAUGUAGAUUAGUGAGCUAGAUCAAUCUAUUGUGGUGGGAAUAGUGAUGAAUGAGAAGAAAGGCUCAUGCUUCAAUUUCUCGUUGGAGAAAAAGUAGCAAAGACUUGGCCGAACUCCCAUCCCAAGUAGACAAGUAUAUCUAUGUCGAGGAAGCUAUAGCUGCUCAGAAGUAGGUCGCACGAGAAAAAAAAGGGCAAAAAGUGUAAGAGCCAUGAAGAAAAAGAUGAGUCGAGAAGAAAACAAAGUCGAGAAGAAAGGAGCACCCCACAGUCGAGAAGUCCAUCUCGAAGAUUCAAGAGGUGUACUCCUCUUAACAUUCUGAGAGCUCAAAUCUUAAUGGAGAUCUGAGAUUGGGGCUACCUGCGCUGGCCUCGAAGGAUGAAAGCUCCUAUCAUGACAGGAGACACGAGCAAAUACUAUCAGUUUCGUAAAGAUCAUGAGCAUAAUACUGAGUGCCAACAAUUGAAACAUGAUUUUGAGGUUCUCAUCAGACAAGGCUACCUCGAUUGAUAUAUUGAUGACUAGCAAAACACUAGUUAGGGCAGGCGAACACUAGAGGUAAAGUGAUGAUCAACCGAUUGCCAAGAUAAUUGCUGCAAUUUUAGAGGAUUUACGAUUGAAGGAUCCAUGCCCCCAACCUAGGUAGCCUACAAAUGAGCAGCCUAAGCUAGAGAGUCAGCCUCUUAAAGAUUAAAGCCAUUGAGCAGGGAGAAUGUGAAAGCUUUGCAUUAAGCUAGGAGAAUAUAUGCUGAAUAAUCGAGCUCGAGAAGCCUGAAGGGGUCCUCGUACAUGAAGCCUUGAUACCGUCAGGGUACACAAAUAGCAAGAAUCAUUGAACUUGAUUUUGUACUUGUUACUACUGAUGAUCAAUGAAAUUGUGUUUUAGUUUUUUGUAAAAACUAGCCCAAUGAGUCCAAGUGCGAUAGGUUGGAUUUGCUUGCUCGAUGAUCUACCUGCUUUUGUGUAUUUGCCGGAUCUACCUAUUUGAUCUUUUCCUCCGCAAUGAUCAUGUGAUAAAGAAAGCUCAUCUAAGGGUACCUCUCACUAUCCAUGGUUCGAAACAUGCUUUAUAAAGGCUUGAUAGCCUUUACAUUCCUCUUGGUGCGCUACUAAAACUUCUAGCUUGUGAAGAAACCCUCCAUGCAGCUCUCCUUGGUGUCGGUCCUUGCAUAUCUACUUUUCUGCCACUCAAUAUUGACUAAAACUUCUAGCUUGUGAAGAAACCCUCCAUGCGGCUCUCCGUGGUGUCGGUCCUUGCAUAUCUACUUUUCUUUCUCUCAAGAAGGUCGUCAAGUGCAAUAUAGUUAGUGGCAAACCAUGUAACAUUUAGCCUCAAUCUCUCCCCCACUUAACUUUCUCAUCGGAGCUAGGAUCUAUGUGUGAUUUUAGGUAAACCUAGUGAUGAUCUGGGCAAUCUUGAUGGCCUACUUGACCUUGCAAAUCUUCUCGAUGCCCAACAGCAUGAGGUCGAUGCAAUGUGUAGCACAUGGUGUCUAGAAAAUGUAUAGCCACCUCAAUAUCAACAACUUAUCGAUAGCCUUAUACUGUAGCCUAUUAUCAGCGACCAUCUGCAUGAUGUUCUACUCUCUUGAUCUAUCAUAUCCUCCAUCAGUUUAAGAAUAUACUAUGCAUCGUGUAGCUCUCUGAACUCCGUGUUGCACCAUUUGCACCUUGAGUGGUGUUAACUUGAGAGCAUGCCACUCUGUUCCUACUCGAUGUCAUGCUUCAGCUCCUUUCCAGAUGGAUUCAUUCCUUAUGGUGAAACCAAGAUAUGCCAAACAUUUUUAUAUUAAUUGGCAUUUAAGUAAUUAAUUAUUUAAAAAUUAGUUAAAUUAUGUUUGGAUUAAAAACUCACCAAUUUAGUCUAGUAAAAUCUUCUAUAUUAAUCAGUUGCAAUACUGAUUUUUUAUUAUUUUUUACUUAAUUAAAUAAUUUUAAUUAUUUUUAUAGUAAUUUAAUAUUUAACUAAAAAUAUCAUGAAAUUUAAUUUUAAUUCAAAAAAAAUGUGGAACCACAACAAGGAUGCUGCAUUUAUUAUUAUUUCAGCUUAUAUUCAUUUAAUUAUUUUUUGAAAAAUAAUUAAAUUUUAGUUUGUGGAAAAAAAUAUUUCUACUUCAGAAAAUACUUCUGAAUCACCUAUGCAUUGUAUGAUUUUUUUUUAUAUUUUUGUAUUAUUUUUAUUUUUUUAUUUUUAUUUAAAAAUAAUUAUUAAAAAUAAAUAAUUUAAAAAUUAUUUUGACCUUACAUUCAUGUAGCAUCCCACAAUAGAUGCUACGUAUAUUUUUUUCAGCCUGUGGGCAUGCGUGGAAAGCCAGUUAUUUUACAAUUUUAUUCAAAUUUGGCUCUAUAUCACUAUUCACAUGAUCCUGCCCAAAUAUGAAUAAAAUUGUACGAAAAUUUUAUGGUGAGUGGCAUUCAUACUCCUAAACAUGCUUCUGAUUUUAUAAUCAUUUUUUGAAUUUUAUUUUAUUUUUUUAAUUUUAAAUUCCAAAAUUUAUUUUUUUAAUUUAAAUAGUUACCUAUUGAAUAAAAAUAUAAAAUUUUGGUGUCAUAAAGAUCUUUCCUAGAUCUAGAACAUAUCAUGAAAUGACACUAAAAUAUACAAAUUUAACAUGACCUUUUCCUAUUUUUUCAAUUUACAACCAAUUUUUGUCCUUUGAAUUAAAAAAAUCAGAAAUGAAGAGAGGAGAGUGGCAUUACCUGAUUUCAGCCAAAAACCAGGGUAAAAUUCAUGAAAAUGGCUAGAAUUGGCCGAUUUUUGAUUUUUUUAAAAGGGGUUCAAAGAGGGUUGGAAGGUGCUGAGAACUCAUGGGGGAGCUUAGUGCCCCCAAUUAUUGGAGUCAGGCAGGCGGUAUGCAUGCCUGAACUGGUGUGAACCAUCCUAUUCGCAUUGGUACCACAUCGAAUUGCUCGGUUCAGUGCGGUUUGGUUUUAUUUCCAAGUCGAGGGGAAUUGUCCCGAUUAUCCUCCAGUACUAUAUAGCAUGGGCCAAACUGCUUGGUUCGGGACGGUUCGGUUGACUUUCAUCUAAAUCCUUUCUCCAUAUCUAUUCCUACCUCAUCAUACUUUUCUCUUCUUCAGCCUAUCCUCCAACAUUGAGUGCUCAAACAACGAAGGAUCACUAGUCUCAAUAGAUCUCAAUGGGUUUUGGGAGUAAGAUCUACCAAAUCUAGGACUUGAUCAUGGAUCUUAUAUUCUACAGGGCAUAACUUUCUUAUCCAAUACCCAUUUUUGGCAGUAUCAAGCAUCACCAUGCAGCUCUUGAGUCUUGAAGAGUACUAUGAUGGUUUGAUGACCUUAAAGGGUUUGUCGUGCAUAGUGAACGAGUAUUAUAAUGAUGUUUAGGCCUUGAAACAGGCCGAUCAAAGUGAAAGUUUUCUUUUUGGGUAAGAUUUUGACUAGGCAUAGCUCACAAUCUAGGAAGAAUUAGGUGAAAUGACUAAAGACAAAGUGAAUAUAGGAGUUAAGAUCUAGUUCUAGGGAGAUUUUGGCUUUUUUAUUAUCAUUUCCACUAGGCAUGACUAUUUACAGAAAGUUUUGAUCUUUUCUAACUAGAAGAGGAAUCUGUCCUGGGCAUGGAAUGCCGUACCGGUCCGGUCCUAGACCGGUACCGGAACGACAAAAAAAUUGGUAUUUUCCGGUUUUUUGUCCGAACCGGUCGGUACCAGCCUCGUACCGGUGCUAACCGGCCGGUUCGCACCGGUACGAUUUUUUUUUAAGAACCACAGCACCGCGCGCUAUAGUUUUUGAAACCACCGCGUACUGGCCGGUACGGUACCGGUACCGACCGGUACCGUACCGGUCCGGCCGGCCACCGGUACGCCGACCGGUACCGGUACGGCGGACCUUGGUUCUGGGUUUUGCAGGUAGACCUUAUUGGUAUAAAUAAGGGCAUUGCAACUCAGAUCUUUCUUCAAGGUACCACAAUUAGCUAUUUGAGCUCAAGCUUGAGCCGGAGCUAAAUAUGGUACCUUGGCUUGGCUUGUCUUGGCUUUUCAAGGUACCAUAUUUAGUUUCAAAUCUUUAUUAUUAACCACAGCUUGAGCCUGAGCUGAGCUCAAGCAGCUACCUAAUGAACAUACCAUAGCCAAGCAUGAGCUGCUUUGAUACUUGGCUUGGCUUGGCACACUUGCACCCCUGAAUAAGACUACUAUUUCAUUGAUUUUGCUGUUAAAAUUUCAAACUCUUGCAAAAUUCACGAAUCUUGAAACACAAGUAUAAUGUCUGUUGCCAAGUGUAAAUGCUUAACUUUCAUUUUGAAAACUAACAAGACAAAUUUUAUAAUUUUUGAUGUUGGAAGGUAUUUAUUGCUCUGUCAAAUUUAAGGAACUUAACUUAAAUAUUCCUCCAUUGACAACCAUAAACUGCCUAGAACACAUGAUCAACACUUCUUUACUCAAUGUCAAACUUAGAUUUGAUGGAACUAUAGGUGCGCUAGCUCCCCAUCCCUCCCUCCCUCCCCACCCCCUCCUCUCGCACACACUCUCUAUACCCCUGUCCCCCUCUCCUUGAGACAGAUUCACUGGAGAUACUAUAGUGAAAUGAAUUACAGUCUCAAAGAACCAGAAUUAGAUUUGAGAAGUGGUUUUCAGCAUUUUAUAAGGAGUAGAAGUUUUUAAGGAUAAUCUGGGAAAUAAAAUUUUCCUGGUUUGCUGUCCCAAAUUUAUAAUAUAGACUAUUUGUUGAGAAACUUCUGAAAAAUAGGGUAUAGAUUCAUAUUUCUUGGAUUCUUGGCACAGGGGAAAAGAUGGAUGGAUGGAUUAUCCAAUAUUAGGGAAGCAAAACUGAGAAUUUAGAGACUAUAGUUUGGUUUACAGCAUGUUAAGUGUUUCAUAUAUCUGUUUCUAGAAACCAUUUACAACUUGAAAAAAAGGUGAUAAAGAAAGCACAACUAAAAGGAAAUGACUUACAGAAAAGAUGAUGGUCAACCUGGUUUUAGAUCUAUUUAUUUGCAAAUCCAAUUACAGAGAUUAAAAACAGGGGACACGGUAAGGGAAGAAGAGGGAAGAUAGAAAAAAAAGAAUAAUUUGGAAUCAAAAUUGUCAAACUGUCUGUUACAAGCAUUUAACCAUAGCUCUUAUUGUGUAAGUGGUUGGUGCAACUAAAUAAGCUGUUUCAAGUCCACUUUAAUCUCUAAGUAGAUGAAGGGAAAUAAGAAAAAGGCACUAUUGAAUUCAUUAGUUUCUGUACUAAUUUUCCAAAUUUUAUUCUGAGGAAGGUCAGGUACAAACAUGACCCUUUGUCCUACAUCGUAAUCAUAAACCUGUAUCAAUUGUUUUCUUUCUUGCUGGAAUCGUCCUUCAAUUCAGUCCCUUUCUAUUGGCUUGGCAUCUUCGAGAAGCUCCAAGAAUGUCCUUUGUUUGGGAUGGCUUAUGUAUGCUAUUAGUUUUAGUCUGACCAGAAAUUUUAGAUAUAUGUUGUGAUUAACUGGACAUCAGGGUCAUGUAAUCACCCUGGCUGAAACAUAGUUGCUUCUCAAAUCUUUACAUUUGAUUAACUGGGUAGUCUUGAAAGAUACUCCUCAAUGAUCAUUAUUUCGACUAACUUUCCAUGUCCGGUAAUGGUUAGCAUGGAAAUAAUCAUGCACUCAUCUUCUGUCCUUUUCAUGUUGCAUUUACUUUCCGCUGAAAGAGUUACAUAAUUUCACUUUACCAUUUCUAUCAGAAUACAUAAUUCUGAGGUACUCAAAGAUUAUGUACUUGUUCAUAGACAAAGUUGCAAAAGCAGGAGGUGGGUAGUCUAGAGUUUAUUCGUCUUGUCCUUUCUUAGUAAUUGCUGCUCUUCCUUUUGAUGUAGUGUUGACAUUAUCGGGAUCCUUUGUGGACUCAUCUCUAACUAUAAGAGCUGCAGCUUCUCUUUGAUAGAAACUAUGUCUGUCUGCCAUUUUUCCAAUCUAGCCAAAGAUAUUGUUUCUUUUUUCCUGUUCUUUUGCUUUGUAUGCUUGUUUUGUCUUCUCUAGUUCAGAUGUAAUGAUAUCCUCAUCAUAAUUGACUAGUAAGAUAUAGGGUGUGGGUUCUGCAAGUACUUUGUAGAAACUCCGAACAUAUGCACUUCUGCUGUUCUCUAGAUAGUUCACAUAUAAUGGUCUCACCUUCACAACUGACAAGUUUCAUGGAUUGGUGCUUUCUUACAUCUACAUGUAGCAUUAACAGAUAAAAUCAAAUCUCUUCCAUCAUUUCUACAAUAUCACAUUGCAGCGUUUCAAUCUUUUGUUAUAAACAUCAUCACAAUUACAGUAUGCAUGAGCUUGUUGAUGAUGUUUACAAUCACGUAAAAGCAAAAUUUCAUUCCUGAUGCUUAUGAGGCUUUUCAUUGCCUUGCCAUCUCUUACCCCUACCUGCAUUUGCUUGCUACACAUAUAUAAAACUAUCUCGCAUAAGUAACUUAGACUGGAAAUUACUUUAGGGGCCAUGGCAUUUGAUAUGGAGUAUGCCCGGUGGCUUGAUGAACAUCAACGUCAGAUUAAUGAACUGAGGUCAGCAUUAAAUGCUCAUGUGGGUGAUGAUGAGCUGCGGCUUCAUGUUGAUGCUGUGAUGACACAUUAUGAUGAAGUUUUUAGGCUCAAAAGCAUCGGUACAAAGUCUGAUGUCUUCCACAUGCUUUCAGGCAUGUGGACAACCCCUACAGAGAGGUGUUUCAUGUGGUUGGGGGGAUUCAGAUCAUCUGAACUUUUAAAGGUAAUUAUUAGAAUUUCUUUUAGGCUUUUAGCAUAUAUUACCAUUGCAAAUAUAGCUUAUUGCAUAUAUAUCGUCUGAAAAUCACUAUUUGCAUAUAUAUAUAUAUAUAUAUAUCAUCAAAUUUUGGCUAAUAAAAUUAAUAAAAAACCAUUUUGAGCAUCAUUCGGCACUAUUACCCUUUUACUUUAAGGCCUUUAAAAUUUAACAUUCAAUUUGUGUUGAAAAGAGCAAUAUUUUAUAUAAAUUUUUCAACAGUAUCAAUGCAAAAGGAUAAGAGACUCAUUUUCUACUUUAAAUGGUUAUUUAUUAAUAUAUUAAAAAAAAUCUAGUAGAGAGAUUUAUACAAAAGCAAGAUGAUUUAGGGUUGUGUAUGCAAAUAGUAAUUUUUGGAGGGUAAAUAUGCAGUCAGCUAUAUUAGUAAGCAUAUAUGCAAAAUAACCAUUUCUUGGGUAUUCUUAAACAGAAACUAGAAUUACGAAUCCUAGAAGUCGAUGUUCUUUGAACGUCAAGUUGAUUAUUCUGAAAAAUUUGCAGAUACUAGCAAACCAUCUUGAACCUUUGACAGAUCAGCAGUUGAUGGGUUUAUGUAACCUUCAGCUGUCAUCCCAACAGGCUGAGGAUGCCUUGUCUCAGGGAAUGGAAGCCUUGCAGCAAUCUCUUUCAGAUACCCUUGCUUCAGCUUCUCUUGGGCCAUCUGCUGGUUCUGAUAAUGUUGCUAAUUACAUGGGCCAGAUGGCGAUUGCUAUGAGCAAGCUAGGGACGCUAGAGAGCUUCCUUCGGCAGGUAUGAGGCAUACUUGACAAUCAAAAUGUCUUUUCUUACAUCCUAUUUUUUUUGCUCUCUAAAUGUAGAGAAGGGUCAUAAACUUUCAAAAAGUUAGUUCUAGAUAUUUUUGUAGAUGUUCUAAAUUUCUUGUUUUCUCCUGACAUUUGUGAAUGAUGUCCUUUAAGUUAUAAAAGAUAUUAUCAAGGCAAUAUUUUUCAAAAUUCUGAUAAUAUUCAUUUUGAACUUGCUAAGAAUCGUUACAUGUGUAUAUGUAUGUAUAUAUAAAUCUUUAGCAUUUCUUCAAGUGAUUUCUUGCAUGUCUUCGGACGUAACCCUAUUUGUAUGACAAUAUGCUUCUUUUCCUAGGCUGAUCUUUUGCGGCAGCAGACCUUGCAUCAAAUGCAUCGCAUAUUAACGACCCGUCAAGCAGCCCGUGCACUGCUGGCCAUCAGUGACUACUUCUCUCGCCUCCGGGCACUUAGCUCUUUAUGGCUGGCUCGCCCUAGGGAUUAGUACUAAUUAUAAUUGUAAAGGGGAUAGAUAAUAUAUGAUUAAGAUGUAGGCGAUGGAACAAUGGAGUAAUUUUGAUGGUGUGAGUAAACUGAGGAAGGGCCUCUUUGGAAGAAGGAUGAAUGUGCUUCAUUGUUCUAUUCUUCGAUUUCAUGCCACAUGAUAACUAUAAUUAAUGAUUUAUAUAGAUGCAUUUGAGUUAUAAUGCUUAUAAUGCUUGAUUAUCUUUGUUAAAAGUGUUGUAUGGAUGUGCAAGGACGGUGCUAGUUUAACUAAUGUCUUCUUAGCCAUCAGAAACAGACAAUAGUGCCAUUUAAAACUAUAGAAACUACUCCCACAAGCAAAUGUAAUAACUGCUUUAUCAGCAUAGAAUGUAUUCUUUAACGUUGUCAUCAGUCAUAAAUUCAUCAAUGGAGUACAUGAUGAGGUUGGAUGUAGCAGUCUUUAGACACACUGAACAACACUAAUUCACAUGAUAGAUUCGGAAAAAUACAUGCAUACAUGAAGAAAUCGAGAUCACAAUCUGACUUAUCAUCAAAAUCCUCCUUAGAUGCAUCAAAUCUAAGCUAAAAAAUAUAUCAAAAAUAAAUAAAUAGUACCUCAAAAAAUAAGUUGGAGAUGGUGACUAAAGUGGCGAAGCUGGCGAUGGAGAAGUUGUUGGAGAAGGAGAGAUGAUGGACUGAUAAUUCAG
rnacentral:lncRNA from 1 species